rnacentral:rRNA from 1 species
UACUCAGUUCGGAUUGAAGGCUGAAAUUCGCCUUCAUGAAGCUGGAAUUGCUAGUAAUGGCAGGUCAGCAUACUGCCGUGAAUACGUUCCCGGGCCUUGUACACACCGCCCGUCACACCAUGAGAGUUGGCAACACCCGAAGUCGGUAGUCUAACCGCAAGGAGGACGCCGCCGAAGGUGGGGUUGAUGAUUAGGGUUAAGUCGUAACAAGGUAGC